UGCGUAGGGGGCAAGCGUUGUCCGGAUUUAUUGGGCGUAAAGAGCGUGUAGGCGGCUUGGUAGGUCCGCUGUGAAAACUCGAGGCUCAACCUCGAGAUGUCGGCGGAAACCACUUGGCUAGAGUCCGGAAGAGGAGAGUGGAAUUCCUGGUGUAGCGGUGAAAUGCGCAGAUAUCGGGAAGAACACCCGUGGCGAAGGCGGUUCUCUGGGACGGUACUGACGCUGAGACGCGAAAGCGUGGGGAGCGAACAGG
rnacentral:rRNA from 1 species